rnacentral:rRNA from 1 species
AUUGAACGCUGGCGGCAGGCCUAACACAUGCAAGUCGAGCGGAUGAAGGGGGCUUGCUUCUGGAUUCAGCGGCGGACGGGUGAGUAAUUCCUAGGAAUCUGCCUGGUAGUGGGGGAUAACGUCCGGAAUCGGGCGCUAAUACCGCAUCCGUCCUGAGGGAGAAAGUGGGGGAUCUUCGGACUUCACGCUAUCAGAUGAUCCUAGGACGGAUUAGCUAGUCGGUGGGGUAAAGGCCUACCAAGGCGAUGAUCCGUAACUGGUCUGAGAGGAGGAUGGGAGACAGUGGAACAGAGACACGAUCCAGACUCCUACGGGGGGCAGCAGUGGACUAUGUUGGACGCUGGGCGAAGGGCUGAUCCAGCCAUGCCGCAUGUGUGAAGGGGGUAUUCCGGUUGUGAGGCACAAUAAGUUGGGAGGAAGAGCAGUAAGUUAAUACCUAGAUAUAUUGACGUUACCAAAAGAAUAAGCACCGGCUAACUUCGUG